AGUUCGGUGGCCUAGUGGUUAGAGCGUCCGCCUCGGAUGCGGCAGUUCGCGUGUUCGAACCCCGGCUGAGUCA